rnacentral:rRNA from 1 species
CACUCUGGAGGGACUGCCGGCGGACAAGCCGGAGGAAGUGGGGAUGACGUCAAGUCAUCAUGGCCCUUAUGUCCAGGGCGACACACGUGCUACAAUGGCCGGCACAGCGGGAAGCGGAGGGGCGACCCUGAGCGGAUCCCUUGAAAGCCGGUCCCAGUUCGGAGUUGCAGUCUGCAACUCGACUGCAUGAAGUUGGAAUCGCUAGUAAUCGCGGAUCAGCCAAGCCGCGGUGAAUACGUUCCCGGGCCUU